GUUUGCAACGAAAAUGAAGUCUAGUUUUGCUGUGUUCUGUUUUUUUGUUGGCUUCAUGAAAAUGUUAUAUAUGCCUUCCUGGUAAGAGAAAGUUACAACCUGAAUUCAAUAUUCAUAUAUGCUGAUACUGUAUCCUACGAUGCAGUAGGUUAUGAAAUUUGAAGGUCUCGGCAUGGAGACUUCGAUUUGAAGGUACAAUCUCGUACGAUGGAGAAGAGUUGUCUUGGUGGAAGAAGAAAGUGUGCAUUUAAUUCGAAUUUUAAUUCUUCCAUAAACAUCUUUUAAGCCGAACUCGUCACACGUGGUCAAGUUUAUGUGAUUUACAUCUAUCUUGCAAUGCGAGCUAUUGCACGAGGGUGAAGUUUGUCCCGUGCAAUUCUAGUGGUUGUGGAUAAUUUUAACAAUCAUACAAAAAUAUUUAUUUUUUUCAUUUUUGUUGCAAUUUUUUUUUGUAAUUUAAUAAUUUGAUGUAUUUAUAAUAAACAAGUGGUUUUGGUAAAUUAUUUGCAAGUAUUUUUGUAA